AGUCAUACUUUACUCGGAACAGUGCGAGUUGUUAGUAUAAAUGUACUCUGUAAUUCUUUCUACCGCCAUUAGAGGGCGAUUUUCUUCUACACUGGUGUGAUUUAUUUGUUCGUCAUGUUUAGUUUAAUGGCGCUCGCUCUCAACUUCUAUUUUUUCGUUUACGACAGAUACGUGAAAAAAUAUAUUGGACACCACAUUGAAUACGAAGGACCAGCGAGAGCUCGAUAUCGCAGGAUGGAUAUGCCGAGCGACGAAAUAAUGAAGAAAGCUAUAGACACGUUCAUGUUAAGCUAUUAUAGGAAUGAAGCAGCCAGAGAAAAACAUGGCGGUCCAAAAUUUCGCAGUUGUACGGAGACAUUCAAUAUACUACCCGAUCUCUGUUACGGUUUCUAAAUAAAUGUUUUUGUUCAAUUUUCUGCUUACGAAUGUCAUCGAAAAGCUACGAAAAUUGUCGCGUACUCGUUUUCGAAAAGAGAUUUUCGUCCAACAGUAAAUUUUGUAGUAUUUUAGAAUAAAAUUUCGAGUUUCUGUACUCGAUAGAAUAACUCAAA